GUGGCUGCCGCCCCGGAAGCCCCCUUUGCCCUGCGGCCAAAGACGGUACGGGUCCUGCACAUACCCGCAUCUUCAAGUUGUCAGGCAGCUCCAGGUACCAGGUGCAAGAAUACAGAGACCCUUAACUUUUCAAAAAAAAAAUGCAAAAGCGCUACGUUCAACUCCGAACCGAGCGAAUGACUUCCUACAUUUGAUCUUAGCCAAAAAGCCAAGAAUCGAGGAAGCCUUCAGCCUUCAUGCUGCCUCUCAGCAUUCUGGUUCUGAGAAGAGAGACCAAGUCAGCUUCAGGUAAAGAACGGGGAAAGCACACAUUUUUGCUGAGAGCUGGACAAGGUAGCUACAGCUACUGAAUGUUCAAGAUUGCGAAUGCCAAGUCGAAGUCUCGCUGACCUUAAUAACUACCCAGCCCAGCACUUUCCACAAAUGUUCUGAAACUCAUCUAUCGCAAUAACCCCGAAGGAAUACACUCCAGUUCCACGAGGUUUCGCUCCCUCCUAACCCCUCCCUGAGGAAUCACACUCCUUAACAGUCCUAGGCCUUCCGGCAGGAAAGCCAACCCCUUCGGCCCCGCCCUACGGAGCCCUUGCACUUACCCUCCUUGUGGCGCAGGCGCAAUGUAGUACCCGCCUUUCGUACCAACGCUGACAAGUCCGCUGCAGCUCUGGCCGCCAGGGGGCGCGCGUCCAGACGCUCCAGGAGCUGCCGAGCGCGGGGGCCCCCGGACCCAGGUAGGCCACCUCCUGACCGGAGAAGUAGACAAAUCAUCAUGGUCCCAGAGCCGUGGAACCCCGACCUGAGUGAUUCCUAAGUCCAAAGACCUAGAAAUGUCCCCCCGGAUAUAUGGAAAUCCCCGUCCACUCCAGUAGUUCCAGCGAUUGACGCCAGUCCCCUCCUCUCCUAUGACCCCCGACUGCUACAACUGUACGCGCUGCCGGCUGUCUUGCCCCAUAAAGUCCCUGCAGAUAACCUUUUGAUAGCAAUAGACCUGGAUACCUUGGAGCAAUCAACACAUUUCUUUGGAGCUCACCAUACUAUCCCUUAGUAACACUAGAUGCCAAACUUCUUUGGCGUGACUCUGGGGACCCUGCUUCUCCCACAUAAGCCCCUCCCCGCGAGCAACUCUGAAGGCCCCAAUUUCACCUCCAGUAUACUAGGCAAUCCCUCCUACACCUAAGAGUUCCAUAGAAGGCCCAGUGUCUCCUCAGGGCGCAAGCAUCUCCAGAUACCCUGUCUACAGAUCCCCAGCCCACCCUCCUAACCCCCUACAGACUGCCUGCCCUGACUCAGCAGGUGCCUCCAGGUUUCUGUUCCCAGACUCCUGAGCUAGGUCUCUGGAGUCUGAUGUGUCCCUCCACCAUACACACACACCCCUGAGUCUGUAGGGUAGGAGACCUGAAACACAGUUCCCAUCGCUGGGCCCCUGGUUGCUGCCAGGACAGCCUGGGCAGCAAGGCUGGUGUUUACCACUUGUGGGGUGAAAUGGUUAGGAGCCGACAGGCAACGAGAGGGUGGCCUGGGACAGCUCCUUCCCUUUCUCUCUACUCCACCCACGCCAGUACCUCCUCUGCUCCCUCUAGGGUCUGCGGUGUUCCCAGCGCGGGAGUCCAUAGCCUGUGGUGCGCCUGGAGGACUGGGGCAGCCAGGUGAUUAGUUUUUAGCACAGGGGCGCGCUCAGUUGGCUCCUAGCCCAGGCCUGGACGUCGCUGUUGUCUGGCCAGUCCCAGGCCUGGCGCCCGGACUGUGAGGUGACCUACCUGGCCGCAGGCAAGGAGGCCUGGUUGAGGGAGCCUGUAAAGUCAGAGUUCAGCCUUUCUCUGCCCUAGGCGCUUCUGCUUUUCUUGACUGGAGACUGGUUAAAACUGAAAAGCCUGAGCGUACCAGUUGUUAAACAAGAUAUGCAGGAAAUGGAACUUAAAUAAACUGCUGGUA